AAACUUGGGCUAAGCCCUUUUAUAAACAGUUUGCUGAGAUGAUGCCUCCGCUGGGGAAAUGGAAGUUGGCAAGUGGACAGCAUCCCAUCUGAUGAUUGGUGGAGGAUUGAGUCAAAUGCAAAGGCAAGAGAUGGGUGACGGACUGGCUUAGAGAAAUCGUGAGGGCAUGAGAGGAAGGCCCCUUUCACUCGGAUCAAUCUUCUACCUGUAGGGGUAAAGAAAUCUCUAAGUUUGGGUUUUUCAUUUUUGCAACCUUAAAUUUGGUUCUCCACAUUUCCACAUCAGUUUUUUUUUGGGGGGAGGAAUUACAUCUGCACGAAAAUUCAUCAUCCUCAUAUUCAUGUUUGUAUGUGAUUUUGCCUAAUAUGCACAUCUUGCAAAAGGACUUUCCCUAAUAUAAUGCAUGCCAAUGUUUGUUUGUUUUAACCAAUAUAUACAUUUUUAUGCACCUUAAGCCUAGUAUGUGCCUUUUUCCUUUUACACAUUGCUUGGCUGGAAAAUUGUAUUGCGAAAUUUGAAGAAAUGUGCAUUUUGAUGGAUAGCUGUCCUUUGUGUACGUAUUGUUUCAGAAAGUGCUAUUUAGGUAUAUUUGACUUUAAAUGUGACUGAUCCUAACUCCUCCAUAUCUACCCGGAGGUCCUCCAGUGGAUUUUGUUAAGGAUGAAUUUAAUUCAGUGCCUGCCCUUUCCAUCCUUCCAUGAAGAAACCACCCAAGCAAAUUAUGUUUGCCAAUUGGUUUCAUACCUUCUGCCAAAAAGCACUUCAGCAGUCAUUCGGGGAUCUAUGCCAGGUGCUUUUUCUUAGCUUUGCUUGUCCACCUUAGUGAAUUCAUCCACAGCAAAUGAACAGCAAUUGAUGGAAAGAUCAAUUGGAGUAGGAGGGAUACUCUUGUUAGAGUAAUUCUCUAAUGUCACAUUGUGCAGUCCUUCAGAAUAUUGCCUCCAUUGUAGAAAUGAUUCAAUCGCAUUCAGUACUGGGCCAGCAUCUUUUCCACUCACCUUUGCUUCUUCCUGUUUGUUUGUUUUUUAAUGCUUGAUUCCUUUUAUCUUUCACUUUAUUUAGCCAAUUUCUUUAAAUCACUUUUAUAACAGCAUACAAGCGUGUAAAAAGGAAACGGCAACAUAAAAUGAAUUAAAACAUAAACAUGAAAUCUCACUGACU